AUUGAACGCUGGCGGCAGGCUUAACACAUGCAAGUCGAGCGGAGAUGAGGUGCUUGCACCUUAUCUUAGCGGCGGACGAGUGAGUAAUGCUUAGGAAUCUGCCUAUUAGUGGGGGACAACAUUCCGAAAGGAAUGCUAAUACCGCAUACGUCCUACGGGAGAAAGCAGGGGAUCUUCGGACCUUGCGCUAAUAGAUGAGCCUAAGUCGGAUUAGCUAGUUGGUGGGGUAAAGGCCUACCAAGGCGACGAUCUGUAGCGGGUCUAAGAGGAUGAUCCGCCAAACUGGGACUGAGACACGGCCCAGACGCCUACGGGAGGCAGCAGUGGGGAAUAUUGGACAAUGGGGGGAACCCUGAUCCAGCCAUGCCGCGUGUGUGAAGAAGGCCUUAUGGUUGUAAAGCACUUUAAGCGAGGAGGAGGCUACUGAGACUAAUACUCUUGGAUAGUGGACGUUACUCGCAGAAUAAGCACCGGCUAACUCUGUGCCAGCCGCCGCAGUAACAC
rnacentral:rRNA from 1 species